CCCUUCACUUUUCCAGUGGGUUUGUUUUCAUCAGGGAGCCUAAGACAGGCCCUCUCUCUGUUGUUCACUUGUGCCUCUCAGGACAAUGGCUUUUAUGUCCCCCCUAUGCCUCUGCAGUGUGUAACCAAGUAGCUGCACAGUCAAAAGCCUGGAGGCUGGCAGGGGGUGUGGGGCAGGGUGCGUGGAGUGGUUGUGGUUGUUCCUUUUGAAGCACUGGCAACUAACUUUGCCUGAUGGAUUUCUGCAGGAAAUUCAAGAAGGGCUGUGAAAAAGGCCCUGUCAGGUGAGUGACACCAUGUGCCCCAGCAUGAGGGAAGGCAUCUGCAGCCAGCCCAGCUUGAUGUGCACUGCCUACGCUUUUGAUCCUCUGGUCAGCGAGCUCCUCACUACCUUCUAUUGUGACUGCAAUAACAGAAAACCAUCCAACUGUCUACCACUUAAUGGACAAGUGGAGAAAGAAACACGUUCUACCCAUACAACAUGAUAGAAUGCAGUCAUAAGAAGUUGUGAAGUACUCUCACACUCUGCUGCGUGGUUAAAGCUUGACAACAGUCUGCUGAGUGAAAGACUCCACACCUAACAGGCAGACGCCCGAAGCUGGUUCUUCUUGUGCCCUGCUUCUGAGGACUGCACACCCAGACCAAGGUACCUGUCCAGAUUUGGGGAGAACAGGACCUGACAGGACCCUGGGCUUCAUCUUCAGGCCCGGUUUACAAGUUUGAUCUCGCCCAACCGUGACCUCUGCACACUGUGCCCUGAAAGCCAGGUUGGCUGCCUGAAGGUGGGCACUCACUCACCCUGUGAGGACUUCCUCCCGGGCCGGGCCCCAAACUGAGGCCUCCUUGCCUCUGCAUCCAGCGGGAUCCCAGACCAUUGCUGAACCUGACCUGAAAAGGGCCGCAGUGAUCCUGGUCUCACGUGUUUGGAAGCUAACUGAGGUGGCGCCCCUCUGCCGCCCUGCGCGUGGGUGUUGUGGAAGUGGUGAUUUUUAUUGUGGGCCAUGUUCUAGGUGGGCCUUGUGCUGCUGACACUCAUGUGUCCAGGUAUGACACCAUUCGCUGCCCCCAGGACAGCCAGUCCCCUGGUAGCUUCACCGGGGUUUGGGAGCCACAUUUCCCAACUAUAAUCUGAGGUGGCCCAAGUGUGUUGGAGAUGUGUCCUGGAUCAAAACCCAGGCUCCACGAGAGGGGUGAUGCCUUUCCUCUGCUCAGCCCACACCCAUCCUGUGCUGUCAUGGACCUUGUCCAAAUCGUAUUCUUUCACCCUGACCCAAGACUUAGUGUCUCCUGUCAUUUUACCCAUAUUCAAUUCUUCUUCUGAGCCCAUGUGAUCUCUCUUCUUUGGCCUUUUUGACUCAAAUCUUAUUUCUUUCUCCUUGCCCAGUUCUUAACCUGUGUGCCCAUGUUCUCCCACCCAGCAUUAAGUUGCUUCUUUUAAAUGCAUGCUUUGAUCCCCACCUGUACCAAAGGAAACCACAGUGAACACACCUCAAAACUUAAAAGUGGGCUUUAUUUCCUAUCUAUUUGUUCUACUGAGCUCCUCUGCUGAGGAGCUAUAUUAUAAUGAAAAUAACCAGGAUGUGGUUAUGAUAAUCUUCAGUGGUACAUCAGAAUCAGCAAAUUUCUACUUCUCUCUGCAUAUCUAAGUGGAGAACCACUUGGUACCAAAGUGGCUGGACAGUGCUCCUGGCUCUCAUCUUACGUAUCCAUAGUAUUGAGCAAUUUCCAUGUCUCUCUCCCUCUGCCUGAAAAACUGCAGCUUCCCUAAGGAGGUGUAUUUGGCAGCCAGCUCCCGCUCUAGCUGAGCCUGCCUCUUCAUCGCUUCUCGCUCUGGUCUCUGUUCCUCUGUAAUCGGGGUUGACAGGACUGGUUGGGGAACGCUGGGCUCCCUCCAGGGAAUUCGCUGGCGGCUGAAGUCUUCGAUGAGAUAUGGGUGGCGCCGCUGAGGUGGGGAACUGCACUGCUUGGUCAGAGCAGUGGCUACAGGCACUCUUCUGAGUGAGGAGCAAGGUGAUGUUGCCCGGGAUGCAGGCUUAGACACUGCAGGCCGAGGAACUCCAGGCUGGGUCUUCCAGGUCAGGCGUGCUUGGCUGGCAUUGUUCAGAACUGGCUGAGCUGGUUUGAUGGGAUGCAUCAGAGAGGUGUUGCCAGCAGCUGUUUGGGAUGGCUGUGCUGUGUCAGUGGCAGCAGGUUGGACAGGGUGAGCUAUAGUGGGCUGCCUUGAGGCUGGAGGCUGUGGCCUUCGGCAAACGGGUCGGGAUGGAGGCUUUUCUGGGCUGGGAAAAGACAGUGGUAUUAACUUCACCUGCCCAGGUGGGGGCAGCUCACACAGGGAUGAAGAUGAAGCCUCUGCUUCAGCAGUGCUGUGGGGGUUCUGGGCAUCAUCCCGAGGGAUUUUCCCCUCACAUGGGACCCCUGGCCAAGAUUUGCCUGUGUUGAUAUCUUGAGAUCUUUGGUGAUACUCGAUGCUCCCAGGGCCCUGGAGGAAAAGCUUCCACCUUUCUUAUCCAACUUCUUCCCUAAAGGGUGGAAAACCUGCACAGAUUCCAGCAAGUGCAUGCCUAGGCUGGUGUGAGGCAUUUUAAAUACCUCUUGGCCAGUCACAGGUUGUUGUCUCUUGCGCUUCCUGUUAGGAAUUGUUGGCAUCUCUUCUGCCUUGACCUUAGGCUCUGACUGCUUCUUCUCAAGAGCUUUCUUGCCAUUGUUGCCUUUGGUUCUCUUGUCCUCCCUUUCCCAUGGCCCUCAUCUUGGUUGGUUCUGCUGGAUGCCAUCAUUGGAGAUUUUCUGUAGGACUUCUCAACCGUGUCCUUGGGAGCCCUGUCACUGGCUGCUGCACUAAAAAUGCACCCUUUUUCCCCUGACAGGCUCUCGAGGUCCAUGAGCUGCAGUUUAGCCUCAGGAGCUCCAGUGAUAGCCUCAGAAGCUUUAUGUUUCUUCUUCCUCACCUUAGCUGAAGGAACAUUGGUGAUAGCUGAGUUUUCCUGCACACCAUUCUCAUGAAUGGCAUCAGUGUCUUGGGCUUGGAUGGUUGUGGGCUGGUUGGACUGAUCAAGAUCUUCCAAGGACUGGAGCACCUGGGGAAGUUGAAUGUCCUCUACCAGGGCCCCAAUAUCUGCCCAACCCGGGCUGGACUCAAUCCCCUUGUCAAGGGUCCCUGGGUCCUGGAGAGUCAGGUGGCACUUUCCCAAGAGGGCAUCUUCAGAACCAGGAUUCUCAGGGAUUGGAUGCUCAGUGGAAGCCAGCAGCUCGGGAGAGUCAGGGGAUGCCAAGGAGAGUAAAGGCGGAUCUUGGGUGCCUAUAAAGAUCUUCUGGGCAUCCAGAGGCUCUAAGCUCUCACUUCUCAUCUCAUCCCAGUUCUCCUUCUCUGGUUGCUCCCAGCUUGAAUCCAAGGCCAAGGAAUGAGUGGAAUUCUGCACUGGAGCUCCCACUGAAAUGCCCCCAGACUCAGUUGGUGGGCUUCCCUCAAGCAACUGGGUACUUCUGCUGCUGCAGGACUCUGGGAUUUCUGCAAGUUGUGACACAAACCCUGCCUGGCUCAGGGCUUGCCAUCCCACAUAUGUCUCUGUCUCUGGGGACAUUCCCUUUACUGCAAAUGAAACAAGGAAAAAGUCAGUCUUUCCUAAGGGAGUUGCUCCCCCUUCACACCAGCACAGCCCUCAGGAGCCCACCAAGAGUCAGCAAGGCCUUCCCAUUCCCUCUCCUUAAGGACCAUGGACAGGACCUUGCUUUAUAGCUAGGAGGUAACUGUUCUUCCUGCUUAUCACCUGAUGUCUUUCUUUUUAUGGCUUUCUUUUUAGGUCCUAGGAUUGUUCUUAGUCAAAGGAAACAAAGUGAUUUUUAGAUCAGGAUAUAUUUUGGUACAGUGGUAGAGUAUUGUCUACUAUGCACAAGGCCCUGUGCACUAUAUACCCUCUACACACACACACACACACACACACACACACACACACAGAAGUGCAAGUGCCCACAUAUGUGCACUCUCACAGAUAGAGCUGUUCAGGUGUAGCUUCCUACUCUCAGAUACACUCAGUGCUCUCCUCUCUUGCUGGUAUAAGUACACUUCUUGCCUUGGACUAGGAGAGAUAAGGUCUUACUUAUGCAAAAUGUGAGCAGGACAGGUACUGAGGCACAAGCUUUGGACAGGAUCUCUGAAAUAUAAGGUAUUCCAUCUUGCUGAAAAUGAGGGAAAUGAAACUGUCCUCACCACCUUAAACUUGGAAGUGUCUUCCAAAGGGACCACAGCAAUAGAAGACCAAAGGGAAUUGCUUAUGGAGGGCUGCUAAAGGGGAACUCAUCCUCAAGAGCUCUGAGAAGUGUGGCCUGCCUCAGUGGCCUCCUGGGCUGCUCUUGUGCAGCAGGGAUGGCCACUAUGGUGUCCUGCAUUCCCUACUUACAGAGUCUGGAAGCAGAGCCCAUCUCAGGCCUGAAAUUCUGCCUAUCUCUAUGCUUACCUGUACUCAGCAGGAGAUUCAUCCCUCCUGCAUAGUGGUACCCUGAUCCCUUUUGCUUCUGCUCUCAGUACCCACCUUGGAAACUCGUUUUCAUGUUGGCUUGCACAGAUCCAGAAUAGCAGAUGGCAGGAGAAGCUGAUGUUAUGACAUUUGUAUGCUGAAUCUCCUUCAACACCAUUACUAUCUCUGGCUGAGGGGCAGCUGCCCCACUGCCUGUGUGUGACAGAAACUCAUACGGCUGCAGUCCUCCAAGCUCUGCACAUACCAGAGGCCCCAUUGCACUUUGAUUGUAGUAGUGGUAGCCCUGUCCUUGGUUCGGAAUGUAUGGUGAUGGUGUUGGCUGAACCAGGCUGGCAGCUAUAGAUGGAUAAAUGGGGAUGAUUUACCAUGGGUAUUAGCAUGGGCAGGCAUAGAUGAGGAGACAACUGUUGUGCUCUGGUUAGUGACAGACACCGUAAAGGUCUCCAAUGGUGGAUGCCUGCUUCCAGAGCCUGCCAUGCCAUCCCACUGCCAAAUAUCUGGAUAGGACGCAACCAAAGAGGACAUCUGCCUCUGGCCAGCAGCCCCUGAAAACUUACUUUCACUACAGUGUUGAUAAGUGUAGGAACUGGCUAUGACUGGCUGGAAGUAGUUGACAGAAGCUGAGGGCAGCAGCCAUGCUGAAGUGAGGGCUGGAGCACUUGAUGUUAAGGGAGCAGCCAUGCUCAUGAUGAAAGGUGAUAGCUCCAGAGGAUUGGAGGUUCCCAUGGAUGGUGGGAUUUGGAAAUUUUCUGUAGGAAACAAGAGAACCAUGAAAACAUGGGUGAGACCGACAAA
ensembl:lncRNA